UUGUUACGGAAAGCAAAAAUAUAUAUGUGAAACGUGUUAAUGAGUAGGAACAGUUAAGUGGCAAAAAUGGGAGCAAUGAAGAAGAAGAAGCUGUGUGUGUGGGGUCUCGUGUGUCGUCUCCGCUCUGUUGUCUCUUUUUUGCU
ensembl:ncRNA C11G10.4 ncRNA